CAUCUAUCGUGUAGUCAAAGUAAUAAAGGCGUGAGCAGUGGUAACGGUGUUCAAUCGAUAAAAAGAUGACUGGGACUGAGGUUCUAGACUGGAUAUUUCAUGAUUCAGCAGUUCAGAUGUGAAUCUUUGAAUAAGUUCACUGAUUGGCGUACCAGAACGUGACUUCUCAUGUUUAUGAGGAACUGUUGUCUGUAUUGGCGAUGAACAUCUGUCCUUUCCAGUGAUUCUGUCAAAUCAAGGGAAUGUGUAUGGUGAUGUUCCAGUCUGGCUGGAUUCAACUAGAAAUAAAAAUGCAGUCCAUAAAACUUAACCAUAAACAAACUUCUAUAUACCCUCAUUCAAUCAAUUAUAUUUCAUUAAUAUAAAUUUAAAUAAUUAAAGUACUCACAUUCUGACUCA